rnacentral:rRNA from 1 species
AAGGGCGUGCUAAUCUGCGAUAAGCGCCGGUAAGGUGAUAUGAACCGUUAUAACCGGCGAUACCCGAAUGGGGAAACCCAGUGUGAUUCGUCACACUAUCAUUAACUGAAUCCAUAGGUUAAUGAGGCGAACCGGGGGAACUGAAACAUCUAAGUACCCCGAGGAAAAGAAAUCAACCGAGAUUCCCCCAGUAGCGGCGAGCGAACGGGGAGGAGCCCAGAGCCUGAAUCAGCAUGUGUGUUAGUGGAAGCGUCUGGAAAGGCGCGCGAUACAGGGUGACAGCCCCGUACACAAAAGCGCAUGUGCUGUGAGCUCGAUGAGUAGGGCGGGACACGUGGUAUCCUGUCUGAAUAUGGGGGGACCAUCCUCCAAGGCUAAAUACUCCUGACUGACCGAUAGUGAACCAGUACCGUGAGGGAAAGGCGAAAAGAACCCCGGCGAGGGGAGUGAAAAAGAACCUGAAACCGUGUACGUACAAGCAGUGGGAGCACCCUUCGGGGUGUGACUGCGUACCUUUUGUAUAAUGGGUCAGCGACUUAUAUUCUGUAGCAAGGUUAACCGUAUAGGGGAGCCGGAGGGAAACCGAGUCUUAACCGGGCGUUAAGUUGCAGGGUAUAGACCCGAAACCCGGUGAUCUAGCCAUGGGCAGGUUGAAGGUUGGGUAACACUAACUGGAGGACCGAACCGACUAAUGUUGAAAAAUUAGCGGAUGACCUGUGGCUGGGGGUGAAAGGCCAAUCAAACCGGGAGAUAGCUGGUUCUCCCCGAAAGCUAUUUAGGUAGCGCCUCGUGAAUUCAUCUCCGGGGGUAGAGCACUGUUUCGGCUAGGGGGCCAUCCCGGCUUACCAACCCGAUGCAAACUGCGAAUACCGGAGAAUGUUAUCACGGGAGACACACGGCGGGUGCUAACGUCCGUCGUGAAGAGGGAAACAACCCAGACCGCCAGCUAAGGUCCCAAAGUCAUGGUUAAGUGGGAAACGAUGUGGGAAGGCCCAGACAGCCAGGAUGUUGGCUUAGAAGCAGCCAUCAUUUAAAGAAAGCGUAAUAGCUCACUGGUCGAGUCGGCCUGCGCGGAAGAUGUAACGGGGCUAAACCAUGCACCGAAGCUGCGGCAGCGAACGUAUCACCCAAGACAACUUUACGGAGUUGACGAUUGACGGAGCGAAGCGACGUCAAAGCGUUCAUUAAAGUCGAGUUGGCUUAGGGAUACGUUCGUUGGGUAGGGGAGCGUUCUGUAAGCCUGUGAAGGUGUGUCGUGAGGCAUGCUGGAGGUAUCAGAAGUGCGAAUGCUGACAUAAGUAACGAUAAAGCGGGUGAAAAGCCCGCUCGCCGGAAGACCAAGGGUUCCUGUCCAACGUUAAUCGGGGCAGGGUGAGUCGACCCCUAAGGCGAGGCCGAAAGGCGUAGUCGAUGGGAAACGGGUUAAUAUUCCCGUACUUGGUGUUACUGCGAAGGGGGGACGGAGAAGGCUAUGUUGGCCGGGCGACGGUUGUCCCGGUUUAAGCGUGUAGGUGUGUGUUCCAGGUAAAUCCGGUUCACUUUAACACUGAGGCGUGACGACGAGGCACUACGGUGCUGAAGCAACAAAUGCCCUGCUUCCAGGAAAAGCCUCUAAGCAUCAGGUAACAUCAAAUCGUACCCCAAACCGACACAGGUGGUCAGGUAGAGAAUACCAAGGCGCUUGAGAGAACUCGGGUGAAGGAACUAGGCAAAAUGGUGCCGUAACUUCGGGAGAAGGCACGCUGACACGUAGGUGAAGUGAUUUACUCAUGGAGCUGAAGUCAGUCGAAGAUACCAGCUGGCUGCAACUGUUUAUUAAAAACACAGCACUGUGCAAACACGAAAGUGGACGUAUACGGUGUGACGCCUGCCCGGUGCCGGAAGGUUAAUUGAUGGGGUCAGCGCAAGCGAAGCUCCUGAUCGAAGCCCCGGUAAACGGCGGCCGUAACUAUAACGGUCCUAAGGUAGCGAAAUUCCUUGUCGGGUAAGUUCCGACCUGCACGAAUGGCGUAAUGAUGGCCAGGCUGUCUCCACCCGAGACUCAGUGAAAUUGAACUCGCUGUGAAGAUGCAGUGUACCCGCGGCAAGACGGAAAGACCCCGUGAACCUUUACUAUAGCUUGACACUGAACAUUGAGCCUUGAUGUGUAGGAUAGGUGGGAGGCUUUGAAGUGUGGACGCCAGUCUGCAUGGAGCCGACCUUGAAAUACCACCCUUUAAUGUUUGAUGUUCUAACGUGGACCCGUAAUCCGGGUUGCGGACAGUGUCUGGUGGGUAGUUUGACUGGGGCGGUCUCCUCCUAAAGAGUAACGGAGGAGCACGAAGGUUGGCUAAUCCUGGUCGGACAUCAGGAGGUUAGUGCAAUGGCAUAAGCCAGCUUGACUGCGAGCGUGACGGCGCGAGCAGGUGCGAAAGCAGGUCAUAGUGAUCCGGUGGUUCUGAAUGGAAGGGCCAUCGCUCAACGGAUAAAAGGUACUCCGGGGAUAACAGGCUGAUACCGCCCAAGAGUUCAUAUCGACGGCGGUGUUUGGCACCUCGAUGUCGGCUCAUCACAUCCUGGGGCUGAAGUAGGUCCCAAGGGUAUGGCUGUUCGCCAUUUAAAGUGGUACGCGAGCUGGGUUUAGAACGUCGUGAGACAGUUCGGUCCCUAUCUGCCGUGGGCGCUGGAGAACUGAGGGGGGCUGCUCCUAGUACGAGAGGACCGGAGUGGACGCAUCACUGGUGUUCGGGUUGUCAUGCCAAUGGCACUGCCCGGUAGCUAAAUGCGGAAGAGAUAAGUGCUGAAAGCAUCUAAGCACGAAACUUGCCCCGAGAUGAGUUCUCCCUGAGACUUAGAGUCUCCUGAAGGAACGUUGAAGACGACGACGUUGAUAGGCCGGGUGUGUAAGCGCAGCGAUGCGUUGAGCUAACCGGUACUAAUGAACCGUGAGGCUUAACCUUACAACGCCGAAG